UGAUGGAGAGCCCUGUGCUGAGAUGAAAU
rnacentral:piRNA from 1 species